AACGUAGGUCACAAGCGUUGUCCGGAAUUACUGGGUGUAAAGGGAGCGCAGGCGGGAAGACAAGUUGGAAGUGAAAUCCAUGGGCUCAACCCAUGAACUGCUUUCAAAACUGUUUUUCUUGAGUAGUGCAGAGGUAGGCGGAAUUCCCGGUGUAGCGGUGGAAUGCGUAGAUAUCGGGAGGAACACCAGUGGCGAAGGCGGCCUACUGGGCACCAACUGACGCUGAGGCUCGAAAGUGUGGGUAGCAAACAGG
rnacentral:rRNA from 4 species